rfam:Gossypium hirsutum cultivar TM-1 chromosome 21, whole genome shotgun sequence
AAAUCUUGCAUUGGGCAUUUUCUAAUUAACUCAUUGAAUCACUCUCAUGCUUCAUAUAUGUUUCAUCCUCAGAUUGCCGGAAGGACGUAAUAUCAUUCCUCAAUUU